rnacentral:rRNA from 1 species
ACGCUGGCGGCAUGCUUUACACAUGCAAGUCGAACGGUAACAGGCCGCAAGGUGCUGACGAGUGGCGAACGGGUGAGUAAUGCAUCGGAACGUGCCCAGUCGUGGGGGAUAACGCAGCGAAAGCUGCGCUAAUACCGCAUACGAUCUAUGGAUGAAGCGGGGGACCGUAAGGCCUCGCGCGAUUGGAGCGGCCGAUGUCAGAUUAGCUAGUUGGUGGGGUAAAGGCUCACCAAGGCGACGAUCUGUAGCUGGUCUGAGAGGACGACCAGCCACACUGGAACUGAGACACGGUCCAGACUCCUACGGGAGGCAGCAGUGGGGAAUUUUGGACAAUGGGCGCAAGCCUGAUCCAGCAAUGCCGCGUGCAGGAAGAAGGCCUUCGGGUUGUAAACUGCUUUUGUACGGAACGAAACGGCGAGCUCUAAUACAGUUUGCUAAUGACGGUACCGUAAGAAUAAGCACCGGCUAACUACGUGCCAGCAGCCGCGGUAAUACGUAGGGUGCAAGCGUUAAUCGGAAUUACUGGGCGUAAAGCGUGCGCAGGCGGUUUUGUAAGACAGUCGUGAAAUCCCCGGGCUCAACCUGGGAAUUGCGAUUGUGACUGCAAAGCUGGAGUGCGGCAGAGGGGGAUGGAAUUCCGCGUGUAGCAGUGAAAUGCGUAGAUAUGCGGAGGAACACCGAUGGCGAAGGCAAUCCCCUGGGCCUGCACUGACGCUCAUGCACGAAAGCGUGGGGAGCAAACAGGAUUAGAUACCCUGGUAGUCCACGCCCUAAACGA